GAAUAGUCUAGAAUAAAAAUCCCACCCGUCAAUUUCCAUGAUCAACGGCCCACGUCCAUCCUUCCAAUAAGAAUCGAAAAAUUGAGAGCACUAGAAACCAGGAGAGAAUUCUAGACCCCAGAAAUCCAAAGGCAAGAUCCUUUUACGCCUUCUAUUAGACUCAAUCUGCACCAUACAAGGAUUCCUAUAUAUACAUCUCUUACACCGUCACUGCACGAGCGUUCUCUUUCUCAAAUUCAUAGCUGUAAUUUUAGAUCUGUGUUGUAAUUUGGUAAUUGACCGGUGAAUUUGGUGAUUUUGUUAGUAAUUCAAGAUGUUUGGGAGGGCACCGAAGAAGAGUGAUAAUACUAAGUAUUAUGAGAUUCUUGGCGUGUCUAAGACGGCGUCGCCGGAUGAUUUGAAGAAGGCGUACAAGAAGGCUGCCAUCAAGAAUCAUCCAGAUAAGGGUGGAGAUCCUGAGAAGGUAUGUUUCGUCAUGUUUUAUCAUUUAUUUUUCGGUAUUAUUGGAUAGUUUUUUAUUUCAAUUUGAUAUUUUCUGAUAAUUGAUGACAAUGUUACGUGCAUGUAGUAGAUUCUGCAAUUAUGUUGCAAGUAGUAGUAUUUUUUAAGUAGUCGUGAAAUUGAUAAUUCCUUCACUUCAUAGAAGGCGAAAUUUUAGAAAUUGAAUAUGGAAUCAAUUUAUGUUGGUGUUUUUUGGGAACCGUUUGUGUAAUUGAGUUGAAUGAUAGCCCUCGCAGAAUUGAAGGAAAAAAGGACGAGGGGGAAGUUCAGAAUUAAUUGAUGAAAACUGAAAGAGAGAAGGAUUGGAAGUAAUUUCAUUUGGCUUUGAUUUUAAAUAAUUGGCUUUAGAAUGUACUGUGGAGUUGAAA
rnacentral:lncRNA from 1 species